rnacentral:lncRNA from 12 species
UGAAUGCAUUAUUGUGUAGAAGAGUUUCAUGUAACAUGGAAUCGUUCAUGGCACUGUGUGGUGACCAUGUGGUAUUCCGAGGCAGGAAAUAAGACUGGAAUGCAGAAGCAGAUCUUCACAAGACAGGUGACCUUGGGUCAAGGUCUUAAAGACUAGGAAGGCAAGAGCUAAGACAAGACAGUGCAUGACUUGUUCAGAGAAUGGUAAGUAAUCCCUGGGUGACUGGAGUGUAGAGGACAUGAGUAGAGCCAUGAAGAGGGAAGCUAGCAGGGUAAAGAUGACUGUCCUCAAAUGAUACAUGUAGAAAUUUAGUCUUUUUCUACAAAAUGGUGGUAUCCAAUGUAGUGUGAGCAAGGACUGGUAGGCCACCGUUUAUAAUUUACUUUUUGUCUCUUUUUAAGUGUAUAUUUGUAAUGUAUUUUUUAAAGAUUUUAUUUAUUUAUUCAUGAGAGACACACAGAGAGAAAGAGGCAGAGACACAGGCAGAGGGAGAAGCAGGCUCCAUUCAGGGAGCCCAACGUGGGACUCAAUCUCAGGUCUCCAGUAUCACAUCCUGGGCUGAAGGCAGCGCUAAACCACUGAGCCACCCAGGCUGCCCGAUUUUUAAUGUAUUUUUAAAAAUUUACCAAUUGGUGGAACUGUAAAUGGAUAUUUUCUUGGAUUAAUAUACAUCUACUGGGGAUCCAUAAUUAACCUGUUCCCCAAGAGGGAGCACAAUCAGAAAGCACGGAAACAAUCGGUAUGAAUAACCACAUUUUCUUUAGUCUCAAGUAGAGGAUGGAAGCAGAUUAAUUUUGGAAUUGGGUGAUGGAGAUUAUGAGAUCUGGAUGGGUCUUAGAGGUGAUAUAAUUUAACUUGGUUUCUACAGAUGAACUAGAACCACUGACUAUCAAUGAUAUGAGCAUGUUGGUGGAAGGGCUGGGUCUGGAUAAUAAUAUUUGCAUUUCUACCAUGGACAUCCUCACCUUUUAACAAUAUUCUAUAAGCAAAUUGAAAUAAAUAAGUCCCAUGUUCAUGGCA